UUUUUUUUGGUGACUCAUAAUAACUUUACGGAUCACCAAUUAUAUUUUGUGACAUAUCAUUCAUGUUUCUGACCUAUCAGCUUUAUACGGAAGGGUAUUGGCCUACCGUGGCUAUGACGGGUAACGGGGAAUUAGGGUUCGAUUCCGGAGAGGGGGCCUGACAAACGGCUACCACCUCUAUGGAAGGCAGCAGGCGCGCAAAUUACCCAAUCCUAAUACAGGGAGGUAGGGACAAGAAAUAACAAUACAGGACUUUACGGUUUUGUAAUUGGAAUGAGUUAGUUAUAAACCCCUUUCCCAGUAUCAAUUGGAGGGCAAGUCUGGUGCCAGCACCCGCGGUAAUUCCAGCUCCAAUAGCGUAUAUUAAAGUUGUUGCAGUUAAAAAGCUCGUAGUUGGAUUUCUGUUAAUACCUUAUAUAUAAUAUUUUUUUAAAUAUUAAUAUGUAAGAUUUAACAUUCAUAUUUUUAAGACUGAAUUUUUAGUUUUGAUAAUAUGAAAUUUUACUUUGAGAAAAUUAGAGUGCUUAAACAGGCUUUUCCCUUGAAUACUCCAGCAUGGAAUAAUAAUAAAAGAUUUUUAUCUUUUUUUAUUGGUUCUAAGAUAAAAAUAAUGAUUAAUAGGGACAGUUGGGGGCAUUUGUAUUUAACAGUCAGAGGUGAUAUUCUUAGAUUUGUUAAAGACAAACUAAUGCGAAAGCAUUGGCCAAGGAUGUUUUCAUUAAUCAAGAACGAAAGUUAGGGGAUCGAAGACGAUCAGAUACCGUCGUAGUCUUAACCAUAAACUAUGCC
rnacentral:rRNA from 1 species